rnacentral:rRNA from 1 species
AUGCCGCGCCACCUGCUCCAGCAGUCCGUCGACCGCCUCGCCGCCUUGGCCGCGCCUCCGGCGGCCGCCAUGGCGCGCGGCGGGACGAGCGUGCACACGGACACGCUGCUCAUCCUGGCGGCGGUGCUCUGCUUCCUGCUCUGCGUGGUCGGGCUGGCCAUGGUGGCCCGGUGCUCCCGCCUGUGCAACCCCUCCGCCUUCUCCGUCGACGCGCCGGGGGCAGUCGCGGCGCCGUGCAAGGGGAUCAAGAAGAAGGCGCUGCAAGCGCUGCCCACGGUGUCCUGGCGGCCAGAGCAGAGGAACGAGGAGGAGGGGGAGCGGCCGGAGUGCGCCAUCUGCCUGGCGGAGUUCGCGGGCGGCGACGAGGCGCGCGUGCUCCCGACGUGCGGCCACGGCUUCCACGCCGCCUGCGUCGACGUCUGGCUCCUGUCCAACUCCACCUGCCCCUCCUGCCGCCGCGCCCUCGUUGUCGCGGCCGCUCAAUCGCCGGCGGUCACCGAGUCUCCCCCUCCUCAAACGUGCUGUGAGCGCGCUGACGCCGUCGCGGCUGCACAGGCCUCGGUCGUAUGGUAG